UUUUAUUACUAGAGGAGCUAUCAUGGCUGAGAGGGAACAAUCCGACUCUUAUUACUUGAACUGGAUAAUGCCAGCGAAAGGAAGUAAUUUUUUUAUGUA
rfam:Fusobacterium sp. 3_1_5R genomic scaffold supercont1.2, whole genome shotgun sequence.